UUCUCUUCUCUUACCUUCUGUUCUUCUUCACUGAGAGGUUUGCUUCUCUUACCUUCUCUCCAUCUCGUCCAUCUCUUCUGUAACCAUCACUACUCUUGAGCUUACUCUCAUCUAUUAAUGGUUUUUUUCUUCUGUUGCUUAAUAUUACUUUUAAUUAUUUGUUUCUUUGUUGUGCAGUAUUUGUUUUUUUUCCCCUCUUUUUCUUUUGUAUCAGUUUUAAUUUUUCUUUGUUUAAGAGAUGGUGGAGGUGUUGUUGCUGUUUGAGUUAAGAGGAAUAAGAAUCGAGAAGCCAGUGAGUUAGGGUUUUCUGAAGUUGGUUUGUUCUCUGAGUUUGGGUAGAACAAGGAUGAUAUCGAGUUGUAACCACUGAAGAUUAAGAGGGUUGUUGAUGAAUUGAUGAGAUGAAGCAGUUCUGGUGAAGAAUCACAAAAUCAGGUUUGGACCGUGAUACCUACAGAGUACAUAUGUUUCUUUUCAGUGGUAAGUAUUGUAUUUUCUCCUUCUUGUAUUGUUCAUUAACAAUAGGUUUGAUGUAUUUAUAACCCCUGUCUCUGUUGCACCAUGUUUACACAUCUGCUGAACGAUUAUCACCUAAUGACAGUAUGUUGAUUUCCAAAGCUCGCGUUCUAUAGGCAAUCAGAAUUGCAGCUCUCUUGGGGCUCCAUCUUAUGAAGGAAACAUUAUUUUUUUUUUGAAAAACUUGUAUUGCUCCAUACUGAGACUUGACAGAGUUUUUAGGACACUUUACUACCAUGCUUAUCCUCAAGUUUUGCUUUAGCAAUGCCACACUAGGCACCUCAUGGAAAUGAAUUACACGCUGGCGUAUGGAUAUGCAGAAAAGCCUCUGUUAGGCUACUUUGGAAGUCAUUAUUUGCUAAGCUGGAUUAAUUUUUGGCGCCUAACAGGCCAUGCCGUCAGAGCUUAUGGAUUGCAAUUUUACUUUUCCACAAAGUACUAGCGGACAAUCUUAUGAAUCCUCUGGUAGUUGCCACGUUUACACUUGCAGUUCACAAUGGUGUAAAUAGCCAGAAGCAAUUGGCAUAGCAAGGUCGAUAACUAGACUGACAGUAAUGUGAGUGAACUAGACUAGAUACACAGGUUUGGAUCCGAAGUUGCAGGCUAAAGGAUUGCAGGGAAGGAGCUAUAUAAGAUUACAAACAAGCAGCAAACUGAUUAAUCCUUCAUUAGCAUCAGGUCUCCAAGGUGUUUGACAAAAAGUCCCAAAAGAAACAACAUUGAUAUUUGGGGGGUUGGAAGUUAGAUUUGUUCACGAACUCUGCUUCACUUCCAAGUCUCCUGCCAAAUAUACUUAUAUUUCUCUCCUUCCAUAAAAGAUAAAACCCUGCAGAUAACAUGUCCUGGUAUAGCAAGUAUCUGGACCAGGUACUGAUGAGGAAGGGAGAAGCAGAGUCGCAGGGUGUAACAAUGUAAAAAUUUGUUACGAAUGGUAUAAGUUUUUGGUUCAGUGGCAAUGAUACGAGUUAUGCAAAGCUUUUUAAUUUUUGUAUGAAUGGCUUAAGAUUUUUGAAAGUUCUGUAAUUCUGAGAAUCUAAAAUCCGGCACCGGAGAAAGUAACCGUUUGCCGGCGGCAAGAAAACGAUUUAUGAGGGAUUGACAAGACGUCACAAAUACAAUAACUAUUUGUGACGGUUGACCGAACAUAACGAAUGAUCUCAAACCGUCACAAAAAACAUUUGUGACCCCAGUAGUAACAACGGAUUAUCGCCCGUAACAAAUGUGUUUU